rnacentral:rRNA from 1 species
ACGGAGGGUGCAAGCGUUAAUCGGAAUUACUGGGCGUAAAGCGCACGUAGGCUGUAGUGUAAGUCAGGGGUGAAAUCCCACGGCUCAACCGUGGAACUGCCUUUGAUACUGCACAACUUGAAUCCGGGAGAGGGUGGCGGAAUUCCAGGUGGAGGAGCGCCUGCCGUAGAGAUCUGGAGGAGCAGCAGAGGCGAAGGCAGCAACCAGGAUUAGUAUCCACGGUGGGCUGCGAAAGCGUGGCUAACAAAAAG